rnacentral:rRNA from 1 species
CAGCGCCACAAGUGGCAAUCACGUUUAUUGGGCCUAAAGCGUCCGUAGCCGGUUUAGCAAAUCUUUUGUGAAAGCGUCAGGCUUAACUUGACGAGUUGCAGAAGACACUAUCAAACUAGGGACCGGGAGGAGUUAGAAGUAUUCCGGGGGGACCGGUAAAAUGGUAUAAUCCCCGGAGGACUACCGAUGGCGAAGGCAUCUAACUAGAACGGAUCCGACGGUGAGGAACGAAAGCCAGGGGAGCAAACCGGAUUAGAGACCCGAGUAGUCC